AGUGAACGCUGGCGGUAGGCCUAACACAUGCAAGUCGAACGGCGGCACAGUAAGAGCUUGCUCUUACGGGUGGCGAGUGGCGGACGGGUGAGGAAUACAUCGGGAUCUACUUUUUCGUGGGGGAUAACGUAGGGAAACUUACGCUAAUACCGCAUACGACCUACGGGUGAAAGCAGGGGAUCUUCGGACCUUGCGCGAUUGAAUGAGCCGAUGUCGGAUUAGCUAGUUGGCGGGGUAAAGGCCCACCAAGGCGACGACCCGUAGCUGGUCUGAGAGGAUGAUCAGCCACACUGGAACUGAGACACGGUCCAGACUCCUACGGGAGGCAGCAGUGGGGAAUAUUGGACAAUGGGCGCAAGCCUGAUCCAGCCAUACCGCGUGGGUGAAGAAGGCCUUCGGGUUGUAAAGCCCUUUUGUUGGGAAAGAAAAGCAGCAGGUUAAUACCCCGCUGUUCUGACGGUACCCAAAGAAUAAGCACCGGCUAACUUCGUG
rnacentral:rRNA from 1 species